GUUGCCUGUCAAGCCUUGAGUCGUAUGGCGCUAGCAGGACCUAAGCUUGUAAUUGCUGUGUUCGGGGGAGGUGAAGAAUUCGGAACAGCCGUCUCCAACAGUUCGCAAGUCCCCAACUUCCCCCAAAAAGGACAGGAGAGCAUCACUUUCAGAGUUGGCGGGACUCUGGGAUUUCGCUAACUAAACUUGCGGCGGAGAUCUCCGGGGGACAGGGGCUCCAACUUCGCCGCCCCUCCCCCAUCCCUCGGAGCUCCGGCAGUUCCGGAUACUUUCCCUCCAUCUUUCAAGUAUCCUUGGCUGCCUAAAAGCCCAUCCCUUCGGGUCCGCCUUCUCGUCGUUACCCGCAGGGCCCCGAGAUCCCCGGGCUGCACACUCCCUGCGGGGCCACCGUGUCUCCCGCCGCCGGGAGACUUGCCCCGGCCAUCCGGCUGCAGGAGAAGGGGCGAGGCCGGCGGCGGUCCGGAGCCCGGCGGGCGGGGCCGGGAAGGGGAGGUGUAGGGGGCCGGACGGGGCGGAGCAGGCGGCCUUUGCGGCCGGCGCUGGGGCGGAGAGUUUGCGCCGGUCCCUGGGCCUGAGCUCCGGCUCGGGCUGGGGCGCCUGCGAUGUCUCAAGAUGGCGGAGCUGGGCGAGUUAAAGCACAUGGUGAUGAGUUUCCGAGUGUCUGAGCUCCAGGUGCUCCUCGGCUUCGCUGGCAGGAACAAGAGUGGGCGGAAACACGAGCUGCUGGCCAAGGCCCUGCACCUCCUCAAGUCUAGCUGCGCCCCCAGCGUCCAGAUGAAGAUCAAAGAACUUUAUCGCAGGCGCUUUCCCCGGAAGACCCUGGGGCCUUCUGAUCUCUCCUUGCUUUCUUUGCCCCCUGGCACCUCUCCUGUAGGCUCCCCCGGCCCCCUUGCUCCCAUCCCUCCCACCCUUCUGACCCCUGGCACCUUGCUAGGCCCUAAGCGUGAGGUGGACAUGCAUCCUCCUCUGCCGCAGCCUGUGCACCCCGAUGUCACCAUGAAGCCACUGCCCUUCUAUGAAGUCUAUGGGGAGCUCAUCCGACCCACCACCCUUGCGUCCACCUCCAGCCAGAGGUUCGAGGAAGCCCACUUCACCUUCGCGCUCACUCCCCAGCAGCUGCAGCAGAUUCUCACGUCCAGGGAGGUUCUGCCAGGAGCCAAGUGUGAUUACACCAUACAAGUGCAGCUCAGAUUCUGUCUCUGUGAGACCAGCUGCCCUCAGGAGGACUAUUUCCCCCCUAACCUCUUUGUUAAGGUUAAUGGGAAACUCUGCCCCCUGCCGGGUUACCUCCCUCCAACCAAGAAUGGAGCUGAGCCCAAGAGGCCCAGCCGUCCGAUCAACAUCACACCCUUGGCUCGACUCUCAGCCACUGUCCCCAACACCAUCGUAGUUAAUUGGUCAUCUGAGUUUGGACGGAAUUACUCCUUGUCCGUGUACCUGGUGAGGCAAUUGACUGCAGGGACCCUUCUACAAAAACUCAGAGCCAAGGGGAUCCGGAAUCCAGACCAUUCCCGGGCACUGAUCAAGGAGAAACUGACUGCUGACCCCGACAGUGAAGUGGCUACUACAAGUCUCCGGGUGUCACUCAUGUGCCCGCUAGGGAAGAUGCGCCUGACUGUCCCGUGUCGUGCCCUCACCUGUGCCCAUCUGCAGAGUUUCGAUGCUGCCCUUUAUCUACAGAUGAAUGAGAAGAAGCCGACAUGGACGUGUCCUGUGUGUGACAAGAAGGCUCCCUAUGAGUCGCUGAUUAUUGAUGGUUUAUUCAUGGAAAUUCUUAAUUCCUGUUCGGAUUGUGAUGAGAUCCAGUUCAUGGAAGAUGGAUCCUGGUGUCCGAUGAAACCCAAGAAGGAGGCAUCAGAGGUCUCCAGUACAGCGCAGUCCAGGAGGGAAUUCAGCCAGAGAGUAAGAAGAGGGUCGAAGUCAUUGACUUGACCAUCGAAAGCUCAUCAGAUGAGGAGGAUUUGCCCCCCACCAAGAAGCACUGCCCUGUCACCUCAGCGGCCAUUCCAGCCCUUCCUGGAAGCAAAGGAGCCCUGACCUCUGGUCACCAGCCAUCCUCGGUGCUGCGGAGCCCUGCAAUGGGCACACUGGGCAGUGACUUCCUGUCUAGUCUCCCGCUACAUGAGUACCCACCUGCCUUCCCACUGGGGGCUGACAUCCAAGGUUUAGAUUUAUUUUCUUUCCUUCAGACUGAGAGUCAGGUAAGUGGCCAUGUUUAGGAAGAUCCAAGAUCUCGGAAGAGUCCAUUCUAGACACAUGAUGUGCUCUUCCCCUGCCCAGUGUCCCUAGGGAUUUAAAAAUGCUUUCCUGUGAGGGGAGAACAUGGUCCUUUCCCUGCCCCCGUCACUCCAUAGUCACACCUGUGAUUUCGUAGCCCCACUCUUCCUGCUCACUCACCCCCACACGGACUCAGAACCUUCCCUAGUGGAUGUUCCACACAUUUCAGACACCCACAAGGCCAAGAACUGGAUGUCUGAAGGGGCUGUCUCAAGGCAAGGCACAGGAGAAGGGUCUGGGGGAGUAGGGUGGAGGCAGAGGUUCCCAGCUUUUCUUCUCAAGAAUGCUGUAUGAUCCCUGAGGGCUGGUACCCCACGAGGUGGUUCUGAGGUGAGUGAGGUGCUGAGUCAAGACAACACGUCAAGCUGUGCCCUUCAUCUCUCCAGCACUACGGCCCUUCAGUUAUCACUUCGCUAGAUGAACAGGACACCCUUGGCCACUUCUUCCAGUACCGGGGAACCCCUUCCCACUUCCUGGGCCCACUGGCCCCCACACUGGGGAGCUCUCACCGCAGCUCCACUCCAGCGCCCCCUCCUGGUCGUGUCAGCAGCAUUGUGGCUCCUGGGAGCUCCUUGAGGGAAGGGCAUGGAGGACCCCUGCCUUCAGGUCCCUCUUUGACUGGCUGUCGGUCAGACGUCAUUUCCUUGGACUGAGCUUUUUGGAUUAUGAAAUCAAUCUCCAUUGGCCCCAGCACUGAGCAGAUCACGUUGUGGGUUCCGAACCCCUGGCUGCUCUGAUCCCUCAGGGGUCAUUGGCCAAAGGCCAGGCCAGAGCUUCAUGGAUACCUGCUUUUGGCCUUAUCGCUGCCUAACAGGCCAGUACUCACAGGGUUAACAUUUAACCUUUUUAUGGUGGCACAUUCCUCUGGGUAUGGUAACCUAGGCAGUGGGAGGCAGAUGGGAUAGGGACUGAGGGAUGAGGGGGUCCUUAGCCUUUACCAGAUCUUCAGCCUCUUGGGGAAAGGCACUUUCCUGCCUCCUCUCCCAAGACUCUCCGUUCCCUACCCAAACCCAAAUAUCUGGUCUUUGACAUCCAUUCCGUUCUCUUUGACCAUACAGUCGGGCGACAGGUCAGAGAUGGACAGAGAACUCUAUUUUGGAUUGCAGAUUUCUUUUUUGUACAUAAAUAAGAAAACUCCAAAGCAUCCAAAGAUGAAAUCCCUUGCCUUUCACUCCCCAGUGUGACUCGAGGAGGAAACAAGGCCUUAGUUGUGAUUCCCAGGGGCUGGGGAGCAAGGCGUGGCCUGUCUGCUGCCUGGGUCUCUAUUUAUAUAUUUAAGUUCACAAUGUUUUUAUGCUAAACAGCCAAGGGGCGAAGCGUCUAGUGGCCUGUGUUCAGGCCUGGAUUACUCUUGCACCUUUUGUGGGACAUGGGGGCUCUGUGUUCUCCUCCCCAAUACUCAGGCCCCUUCCUUCAGGGCCAAGGCCCUGUGAUGUGAUUUUACUUUUAUUCCCAAAGUUGUAGCAGAGUUCUCGCCUACAAUAAAGGUUGUGAAUGUUCUG